GGCAGCAGUGAGGAAUAUUGGUCAAUGGACGAGAGUCUGAACCAGCCAAGUAGCGUGCAGGAUGACGGCCCUAUGGGUUGUAGACUGCUUUUGCAGGGGAAUAAAGUGAGGCACGUGUGCCUUUUUGUAUGUACCCUGAGAAUAAGGACCGGCUAAUUCCGUGCCAGCAGCCGCGGUAAUACGGAAGGUCCGGGCGUUAUCCGGAUUUAUUGGGUUUAAAGGGAGCGCAGGCCGAAGAUUAAGCGUGACGUGAAAUGCCGCGGCUCAACCGUGGAAGUGCGUCGCGAACUGGUUUUCUUGAGUGUGCACGAGGAAGGCGGAAUUCGUGGUGUAGCGGUGAAAUGCUUAGAUAUCACGAAGAACUCCGAUUGCGAAGGCAGCCUUCCAGGGCAUUACUGACGCUAAAGCUCGAAGGUGCGGGUAUCGAACAGGAUUAGAUACCCUGGUAGUCCGCACGGUAAACGAUGGAUGCCCGCUGUUUGCGAUAUACAGUAAGCGGCCAAGCGAAAGCGUUAAGCAUCCCACCUGGGGAGUACGCCGGCAACGGUGAAACUCAAAGGAAUUGACGG
rnacentral:rRNA from 1 species